GAUGAACGCUGGCGGCGUGCCUAAUACAUGCAAGUCGAGCGAACGGACGAGAAGCUUGCUUCUCUGAUGUUAGCGGCGGACGGGUGAGUAACACGUGGAUAACCUACCUAUAAGACUGGGAUAAAUUCGGGACACCGGAGCUAAUACCGGAUAAUAUUUUGAACCGCAUGGUUCAAAAGUGAAAGACGGUCUUGCUGUCACUUAUAGAUGGAUCCGCGCUGCAUUAGCUAGUUGGUAAGGUAACGGCUUACCAAGGCAACGAUGCAUAGCCGACCUGAGAGGGUGAUCGGCCACACUGGAACUGAGACACGGACCAGACUCCUACGGGAGGCAGCAGUAGGGAAUCUUACGCAAUGGGCGGAAGCCUGACGGAGCAACACCGCGUGAGUGAUGAAGAUCUUCGGAGCGUAAAACACUGUUAUUAGGGAAGAACAUAUGUGUAAGUAACUGUGCACAUCGUGACGUGACCUAAUCAGAAAGCCACGGCUAACUACGUG
rnacentral:rRNA from 1 species